CCCUUUCACUCACCUCGUUCCGUAAAGGGUCCAGCUUGUAGACGUUCUGCAGCUGAUUUCUUAGCCGCAUAGCUAUCGCCAUCGGACCUUGAUCCGCCAUCUUUGGGAAUUCUGCAUACUUCCGGGUAACGGGAGAGUGGACAUCUGAUGGGGUCAUCGCACAUCUGAGUGACAGCACCUGCCUCCACAUACAAAUCACGCCUUUGGGGCGGACAGAGCACAACCACAAGCUCUGACGAUAGCUGAACACAUCAAAGAGAAAAGACAGAGCGUAUCCUGUCUGGUACAGUCUGAAGCCAUUCAACCUAGUGUGAUCAGAGAGUGUGGGCCAACUAGCUCUAAAAGGUACAUUUUUGGAACACAUGAUAUCAAUGCAGUACUGCACAGAACCAACUCAGGCGGAGUACUAGAUAAAAACAAUGAAAACCAAACUAAGAAGACAGGUAGACAGAAGAGUUCACCUCAAAGAACCAUUUUUGACCCAUCUCUGACUGGUUCAGUCUUUGAAUGACACCUUCAGUAGUAGAACCCAAACUGACCUCUGCAUGCAGAGAUACCGGAAAGAUGAUGUUUUCAUCCAUUUAAUUAAAACUAAACUCAGUAAAAACUCUUGUUCCCAAUAAGUCAUUCAGUUAAAUCAAUGACAGGUCUGGGGCCUUUGUCGGCGAAAGACUGAGCUUUUUGGUCUCAGAUGAACUGGCAUGGCAUUCACGCCCGAAACUCCUGUUUGUUCAGAGGAGCAGCAGCCGUGCUAGCCUGGCACGGCUUCACAUUCCUUCAGAACUGGCUCAUUCUGGACUUGGCCCAAUAUAAAGUAAAUUUGAACAGAGAAGUACCUUUCACAGGUGUUAAGACUGAUGCAGCAGCCAGUUCAGAAGGGUUCUCCUGAAAGGAAUCAACCAAAUGUAAACACCUCAGAGAUGCCGUGCUGUAACAUCCUCAUGGGUCAGUGGGUUUGACUGGCAUUGUUUUGCAAAGUACAGACAACAAAACAGCAUUGUGGAAGACUCUAAAAGAUGUUGUUAGUCUUUUAUUGGAUCAAUCCAAACUUCUGUCGAUUUCUAAAAAACAAUGUUGACUCAUGCUUUUGUUUGUAAAAUGCACAUGCACUUACAAUGGAAACCUACUCAGAGUGUUUUAGAAGCAGAUGGAAAGCUUGGAUAAUUGUAAAAGCACUCAGUGAAAAUGUUUGUUAUUUUAGUUGUAAAGUUGUCUAAACCGUGAUUUUGAUGUGGGUCUGCAUUUAUCUGGUUAUAUAUUACCAGCGUAAAUUCAUAUGGGUGGAGUUUGCUUCAUACGAACAGUUCUUUGUAAAGAGUUACGUCAUGUCCCUUCCAUGUCUUAGCUGGUAUCCUUGUGUAGAUAUCAAGUGAAAAUGAGAAACUGCAUGUUUUGAAGCCUUUGAUAAAUCAGGUUAAGGUUUUCCUAAAGAUCGUAACAUGACACGCUAGUUUCCGCUGUAAUUACUGAAUGGCUGGAUGUUCCCCCAUUGUUAUCUGCCAUGGCAGUUUGAGAUCAUGCGGGUGCAACUCAAAGCCGUAAGAUGGCAAGCGGCAGAGUCCGUGUGCAAAUCUAUCCCCACUAGUCCAUGCCUAAGCAGUCAGAAGGGCUCACCAAACAGCCCACGAUGACGCGAGAGACGCCAGCACCCGAUAAACGCUAAUCAGGAAGCUUGACCGCCCGUGAGACGCCCACAAAACAUGUAGCAAGCUGGCAGAGGCAGAUAGUGGCCGUCUUUGAAGAUUCAGUUAUAUUCAUUCAGAGUUUUGGCUCUUGAGGAAAGCUUUGAUAGAGUUACAAAAAAGGCUGGCAAACCCUUAUACCCGCUCUACAUUAAGGAGAGGAUUGUUUUGGAGACUGUAUUCUUCUGUCUGGUCUUCUUUCAACCAACAUGCAGGCAUUCUUUCAUCUUUGGGUUACAUCUUUUUGUUGGUAGCAUGCAAUGUUACUGUGCUGUUGUCGACUAUGCUGGAAAGAGUAAGAGGGAGACAGACAGACAUUGAAAAUUCAUUCAUUUUUGGAUUGCAUUUCUGAGUAUUUCACUUCCAAACAGGAUGCUGGCCCUCAUCAUUUAGAUCAAAGAAGAUUUGAAGACCUUUUUGGUUUGCUUGUCUGUAUAGCUGGGGCAUAACAAUCUAAAAAGUGUGUGUUUGAGACAGGGCUGUGCACCGUUCAAAAUUUAGUUGAAUUUCAAUUAGUAGAUGCUGAAUUGCAAUUCGAAUUUGAAUUUAAGGAAGUAGAAAUAAGGUGAAUUGAAAUGUAAAGAAAUAUAUAUUAAAUUUUUACUAGUCAAGGAAGGUUUAAAGGCGAACUUUGUAUGUUGGCUUGAUAGAGAGCCUUAUUUGAAAGGGGUUUCCUCUUCCUGUCAUUCCAAUUGAGCUUACUGUGGGGUGUGGCCAAUUAAAUUCCAAUUCCAAUUCAUAAAUUGAAGAGGAGUCAAUUGUUCAAUUCUGAAUUUUCCUGAGUUCUGAAUGCAAAUACAACCAGACUUUUGUUUUCUCUUAAAGCUGUUAUUUUCCAUGGCUUGCUACAGUUUUCUUUACCACUAAGCAAAAUGCUAAAGAGUUCAAAGAGACACAAAAAUAAUUAUUAUUGCCCAAAAUAAGUAGGGACAAAGUUAUAAUUUUAAAAGUAAGGGAGAUUAUUCCCCCCAGUUGUAAUGGUUGAUAUGCCCUGCUUAAUACUUGUAAUAAAGUACAGCAUUGAUCUAAUGCAAAAGAACAUGUGCAGAGCAGGCAUUUUUAACCAGAGGAUAAUAGCAUAGCUGUGCAUGAAUCCAUUCUGUAAUUAAGCAUAACUUAUGUGCUCUCUUUUUCUCCUCAAGUGCAGCACAGGAAAGGUGCAGGUGAGAAUACUUGAGACAGGGAGGACGCAGAUCAACCUGAGGAAUUAUGUCUGCUCCGUGAAAUUGAAUUUAAAAAUGAAGGCAUAAAUAAUAUAGUCAUGUCCACAGAUAUCUUCAUCUCAGUAGGAUAUGUGGCAGACAAAGCACUCAAAAAUCACACGCUGAGGCGCGCACACACAAACACAGAUAAGGUUGUCUCAGUGCCUGAAAAUUAAGAAAUCAUUAGAGCCAUUCAUCAUUGUGUUGGUGGGGAAAAAACCUUACUGCUUUAAAUAAUUACUCUGAAUCAAAGGCUAAGUGCAGAGAGAUCAAAGUCAGGCAUUCUUGAGUAAUCCUCAAGUGUUGCAAAUCUUCGGUAAUCUACCUUGCCAGGUCCCCACUGUUUGACAUGUCUUUACUGUAGAAAAGGGAAGGGUGCCAUUAAUUACUGCUUUGCUGUGCAGUUGUUUACUUUCGUUAAACCUGAGUGCUGCUUGAUUUGUGGAUCACCCUGUUUAUAGAUCACCCCCGUUUUCUUUGUGUUUGCAUGGACAUUCACACGAUCAGUCUGCUUAGCAUGAUGUCUGUGUUUGCAUUAGCGUGUUUGUCUGCUUGUUGCAGGAGUUAGUAGUGUGUUUGCGUGUGUGUGUUUCUACACCGGGGGAGUGAGGAUGAGAUUAGCUGUGGACUCGGACAGUUUACUUUUGUGUCGAAACGUAUUCUUAAAAAAGUGGAUGAAAUUGUGCAACGGUGUGUCCCUCCCUCACCCUAACCACUGCCAAUCCCCCCACUAAACGCCCACCAUCAUCACCACCUCCAAAUCCCAGCGUUGUUUGAAUUCACGGCAGAGUCAAGGAAGUUAAGUCGUUCUUUGUCGAUGAUGAACCAAACAGAGGCUUGUGCACAGGUAGUUUAGGCCUUUAUCUGGUAAUUCUGAGACACUCGGUGCUGUAGUGACUGAAGAGUCACUCCUUCACAACGUGCACUGGUGUGCUGGCAAACUCAUGAGCCAACUGAAGAUUUGUGAGUGGGUGGAAGGUCUUUAAUUUUCCUGCAGGUCCUGAUCAGGGGGUGGAUCAAAGUUACAGAGAGAUUAAAGGACAUUGGCGAGGCGAACGGCACACGGAACUCUUUCCUCGCAUCGCUCUAAUCCAGGCAGCAAUCAGCAGAGCGCUGGACCACAUGGGAAAUGGGGGAGCCCCAUCGAGAUGGGAACAAGAGUUUAAAGGUCACAUUAGAAAUCCAGUAGAUUUCUUAGUCAUGUGAUGAACGACACAGCUAGAUAUACACAGACGGCCGCUGAAUGAUCUAUGAGCCCCUUGAGCUAUCGAUGAAUGUAACUUGGCCAGUCAGUUGAACAGGAUAGAACUGAUGAAGCACUUUGAACAGUCUAUCCUGGUCAUUGACCCCUAUUUUAAUCUCAGUGUCUACCUCCCAUAUAGCCACAUGUGCAGGAUUUGGCCAGAGAAGAACCCUCAUCCCCGCCUGAGGAGGCGGGAAAGGGGAUUCUGACCGCAGCGGUGAGGUCAUCUUUAGCGGAACCUCAUUUUCCUUUAAAUUACCCUGGCUGAUGACCUCGUCUUUUCUUGCAACAAUUAACUCUGAUUUGCUCAUCAACCGAGCAGAAAAAUUACCGCAGGGCAAAAAAACAAAGACCACAUAGUUAGCCAGGGCUGCUAUCUCCCAUCAGGGCUGGGACACUUCUUUGAACGUCACCGUUUGCUUUGAUUGCAAAGUAGAUGCGCUGCUGGCUUCCCUCUGUCAGACGGAGGACGACUUUGAAUCGGGCGUGAGGUAGUGGCUGCUAAACUUGACACAUCCUACAAAAACACACUUUUAUCUCACUUGUCUGCAUGUCUCCUGACUUUAUUUUAAUAUCUAUAUUUUUUCAAGUGUUUACGCAACAUUGACGUGUGUUGACAGGUUCUUUUUUUCCAUGAAUAGGGCGUUGGAAAUAAGUCAUCCAACAAUUUCGGACGUCAUCUCAAGAUGGAAAAAGAAAAAAUAAGAAAAGGUUGCUGUUGUAAUGAAUGACUCAAAGAUUUAUCACUAAGAUUCGUAGUAUUGUUUUUCCCAAACUAAGGCCAGCUCAUUUGCAUGCUGUAAAAGCUGAAGUUGGUAUAAAAAACAACACCCAACUCUAUAUAAAUAAAUGGAUAGUAUUUAUCGGAUAAGAACUGCCUCAUGGUCAGUGAUUAAGUGUGCUUUAUGGCGUCCGUGAGUGAGACGGGAUUUCUGAGCUGUGUUUGAAAGGACAUUGAUUUCCCAUUUGGCUGGUGUGUUUGGUUCAAUCAGUUACAGAUAUGUGUGAAGAGCUCAGCCAGGUCAAGAUAUACCCAGCAGUUCAAACGCUUGCUGAGGAACACAAGAUUGCAGGGUGGAGUUUAUCGAGGUAAACCCAUUAAGUUAAAAGAUGAUGAAGUAAACGGAGUGCAAAAGAAAUGUGGGAUCGAUAACGUUCCAAGCUUAGUUAGACCUCUGACCCCUGGACUCUGUAUUCAUAAAGGCGCUGAAACUUUCUUGAAUUGUUUUAAAAGAGAGGGGAGUUCAGAACAGCACGGUUGCUUCCAUUUUAGCUUCUUGUCUGCUUUGGGUUGCGAUAUUGUCUUUAGAGAGAAGCUGGGGGAAGACCCUCCUGGACACAUCAUUGUCUGAGCAGCAAUUAAAUUUUGAAUUACUCCGGUGGGGGCAGCCAAACCGUCUGGAAUAGAACUGCUAUGCUUGCCAAUAGAGUUGGACGUUCUUCAGCUUUGAUAACACCUGAUCUAUGUGUCAAUAUUUUACCUCUACUGUAAGUGUUAAUCGCCUCUUAGAUGUGAAAUGAUCUCAUAGUGGGUUCCUCGAAAUCGUUCAGCCCACCAGGAUGAUACUAAACGUCUGUGAUCUAAUAGCCUAGGCUAUUGUUUUAUAAUCCCAUUUUAUUUA